GUUCUUCAUGGUCCCAGUGUAGUGGACACAUGGGAUCCUUGGUAACUUCAGCAUGUCCUGUAGUUUUCCAGAAUGGCAUCCUUACUUUGUGUAAGAUGAUGAGAUUGUGAUGCCCUUCUAAGAGAAUCAGAGCUACAGUCCUCAUCUAAUCGCAAGAACAGUUUCUUUCUCUGUGUAUUUUUUUUCCUUAAUAUUUAGAGAUUGUCAGCCCUAGGAAAGCAGGAGUUUGUAUGUCUAAGUCAUUUUACUCUCAGUGGAAUAAGGUGAUGGUAGCUGGGAAUCUUCAUUUGGAAUUUUCCACAGCUAUUUCAUAGAAUCUCUAAAUAUUUUUUAAUCUGUUUAAUACAACAUUUACAAAUGACAUGUGAAUCACUGUAACUUCUAUCCCUUGAUUGUGGAAUUUUUGUCACCAUGGGAACCAUUGUGUUCAAAGUUGUAACUUGUUUAGACCAUUGAAGGGUCAGAAAUGGUGGAUGAAAUGAAAUUCCAAAAAGUGAUGAAGCUUCAGCCCUGGCAGUAGAAAGUUGCUCAGUCCAGGCUGUCCUGUCUCUAGAAGUUCUACCCCCA
rnacentral:lncRNA from 1 species